rnacentral:rRNA from 1 species
AGUGAACGCUGGCGGUAGGCCUAACACAUGCAAGUCGAACGGCAGCACAGUAAGAGCUUGCUCUUACGGGUGGCGAGUGGCGGACGGGUGAGGAAUGCAUCGGAAUCUACUCUGUCGUGGGGGAUAACGUAGGGAAACUUACGCUAAUACCGCAUACGACCUAUGGGUGAAAGCAGGGGAUCUUCGGACCUUGCGCGAUUGAAUGAGCCGAUGCCCGAUUAGCUAGUUGGCGGGGUAAGAGCCCACCAAGGCGACGAUCGGUAGCUGGUCUGAGAGGAUGAUCAGCCACACUGGAACUGAGACACGGUCCAGACUCCUACGGGAGGCAGCAGUGGGGAAUAUUGGACAAUGGGCGCAAGCCUGAUCCAGCCAUACCGC